ensembl:miRNA mir16a microRNA 16-2
CCUGCCACGCUUUAGCAGCACGUAAAUAUUGGCGUGUAAAAUCAGAAAUCAACCCCAAUAUUAGCAGUGCUGCUUCACUGUGGCUGG